CUACGGGUGGCUCCAGUGGGGAAUAUUGCACAAUGGACGAAAGUCUGAUGCAGCAACGCCGCGUGGAGGAUGACACAUUUCGGUGCGUAAACUCCUUUUAUAUAAGAAGAUAAUGACGGUAUUAUAUGAAUAAGCACCGGCUAACUCCGUGCCAGCAGCCGCGGUAAUACGGGGGGUGCAAGCGUUACUCGGAAUCACUGGGCGUAAAGCGCAUGUAGGCGGACUUGUAAGUUGGAAGUGAAAUCCUAUGGCUCAACCAUAGAACUGCUUCCAAAACUGCUUGUCUAGAAUAUGGGAGAGGUAGAUGGAAUUUCUGGUGUAGGGGUAAUAUCCGUAGAGAUCAGAAGGAAUACCGAUUGCGAAGGCGAUCUACUGGAACAUUAUUGACGCUCAGAUGCGAAAGCGUGGGGAGCAAACAGGAUUAGAUACCCCAGUAGUC
rnacentral:rRNA from 1 species